rnacentral:lncRNA from 1 species
ACUUCUUACCAAGAACUCCUUAACUUGAGGGUGAACAACUUAAAGCUUGAUCCUACAGUUACCUGAAAAGUGAUUUGAGUAUUCAUUGAACUGAAAGAACAAAUCGCCUACUUCAGGCGGUGGCAAGCGUAUGGAAAUUAUAUUAGAACUUCAGCAAAGUGCACAGCUGCAUAAUAGAGAAGCCGGCACUCAGAUUGACAGGCAAAUAAGCCAGCUUGUGGAAGGGGCCUCUGGGUGGCAGCUCUGGGCUUUUGGGUGUUGGACAACCAUAGGCAAAACUGAAAUGGAACAGGGGCAGAAAAUAGCACACUUUUACUCUACGCAACUGUUGCUUUUUCAUGAUCUUCAGGAAUUUUACUGGGAUAAUUAUCCAAAUAAAUUGCAAGCAUUCUAUCCAAAUGGAGCUCUUUCUGAGAUGAAGAGAAUUCUCAAUGUCAAGAUUUGAACAAGAAGAGAAUGGAAUACACAAUAUGGUAAGGCUACGAUAUCAAAUCUACUUUUUUGGGGGAAAGUUGGGCAGUGAGACUGCUUAAUCGCAACCAAUGUGAGUUUAGAGGGUGCAUGUUCACUUUUGUAGAAGUUCAAAAUGUACUGACGAUUGUUUGCUUAUUUUUUGUUUGUUUGUUUAAAUCUUAAAGGAAUACUGUCGUCUGCGUUUUUACGAUUUUGUUUUCUUCUAUUGAACCCAUUACAGUGGAUAUAGAGUUUUAUUAUAUAGCGAAAUCUUUGUAAACUGCCACAGAAAGAAAGUGUUAUUUAGAAGGGAAAUUGACAAGUUUUAAAGAGUAAUUGUACAAUCAUUUGAGGACAGAGGAACACUGCAUUAUACUAAUAAGGGUUUAAUUACCAAAAAAAGUUUAAUGUUGCUUUGGAAGGAAUAUUAAGUAAGUUGUCUUUGUCUCUUACUUUUUAAUUUUAGUCGCUGAUUUAGCCUGUUGGGUCACAUUUUUUGUUAGUGCUGAAGGCUGCCAUGAAUCCGUAAUGAGGCCCCUUUGCACAUGAUUUUGGCACUUGGCCAAAAUCAACUUCCCAGCGGCAAGCUUUCUCUAAAGAACCUGGAGCAAUUUCUUUCUUUUUUUUUUU